rnacentral:rRNA from 1 species
GAGUGCCCCGAGCGUUAUCCGGAAUCAUUGGGCGUAAAGGGUGCGUAGGAGGUUUUGUUAGUCUUCUGUCAAAUUCUUCGGCUUAACCGGGGGCUCGCAGAGGAAACGGCAAAACUAGAGGAUGGGAGAGGUGAAUGGAACUCUAAGUGUAGGGGUGAAAUCCGUUGAUAUUUAGGGGAACACCAAAAGCGAAGGCAAUUCACUGGCCCACUCCUGACUCUGAAGCACGAAAGCGUGGGUAGCGAAUGGGAUUAGAUACCCCAGUAGUCCACGCCCUAAACGAUGUUCAUUAGCUAUUCGGAGUAUCGACCCUCUGAGUGGCGUAGCUAACGCGUUAAAUGAACCGCCUGGGUAGUACGACCGCAAGGKKA